rnacentral:rRNA from 1 species
AUGCUAUUUUUUUCGUUGGGUGUACCCCGUGGAUCCAGAAUGUUCAGGUAUGCGCUGCAAUCUGUUGCAUUAUUCAGCGAGGAGACGAUCGCUGCCAGAGUGGACUCCUUGAAGAAGACGUUCCGGUGGUCGGAUGCCGACGUGAGCAUCGCUUUGUGUAGGGCUCUGCUUUUGCUUACAAAAUCAAAUGAAUUGCUGCAGUGCAGGUCUGAAUUCCUCAUCUAUGAAGUGGGGUUGGAACCGGCGUACAUUGCUCAGCGGCCGGUAAUUCUCUGUUACAGCCUAGAGGGCCGGAUGAGACCUCGGUACUACGUUGUAAAGUUUCUCAAGGAAAAUGGAUUGCUCGAGCGCGACCCGAGCUACUAUACUGUUUUCAAGGAGACCGAGAAGUAUUUCGUGGGGAAGUUCAUAUACCCUCACAAGGAAGCUGCACCACACCUUGCUGAAGAUUAUGCUGCCGCUUGCGGAGGGGAAGUGCCCGCUAGAUUCAGAUUUACAUGA